rnacentral:lncRNA from 1 species
UCACCUGUAACAAGCGGCAGUGUAAUGAAAAAUGGGUUACUACUUUAAACAAGACCCACUUGUUAUAUAACAAACACAGAAUGUUGGAUGACAAGUUGCAUGAAAUUCAUGAAAGUAGUUGCAAAGGGAUACAUGACAGGUUCAAGGACUUAGACUUCCUACAAACUAAACAUUACAAAACAAAAAUCAAACUAGGCUGCUUUGUUUCAAUAUGCAUGCCUAGUUGCCCACAUCUCAUCGGUCAUAUCAUCACGCAUUUGAUUCCAUUCGUUACUGCUGUCAACAUAAGUUAUAAUCAGGUCAUCUGACAGGAUUUCUGUCUUGGACGUUGAAAAGUCCGGUCCGUGGUAAGCUUGCUCAAAAAUAUUCGGUCCCCAACUCCCCGGAGUAGUUAUGUAACAGGGCACAAGCAUUGACGAUCAUCGAAACCUUCAUCGGAGAAAACCAUGAAGGAGAGCCCAACGCAUCUUCAUGAUGCCAAAAGUCCUCUGAAUAACAUUUCGGGUCCCUGAAUGAAUCAAGUUGAAUAGUUCCUCUUUAUUCCUAGACUUGUUCGGACCCCAUUCCAUUAAAUGAUAACGUUUGCCGAGGUAAGGAGUCAGGACCCCCUAGCAUUGGUGUAGCCAGCAUCGCUGAGGUAGUAUUUCCCAGUGAACAUAGUGAAGAGAACACUUGAACAAUACUCAAAAUUUCAUUAUAUAAUAUGUAAACAAUACAGAAACAGUUUAAUGUAUAAUACUUAAACAGUAAUGAAACAGUUUAUUACAUAAUACUUACACAAUACUCAAACAAUACCUAAACAUUACUCAAACAGACUCAAGGCAUUAUAUAACUUAACUGAUUUUGUAGGUGUAGCCAAACAGACUGAAGGCAUUAGCUGAAUGAACUAAUUUUGCAGGUACUCUAAAUAGACUCGGGCCAAUAUCGUAAUAAAUCGAUUGUGCAGGUACAUCAAACAAACUGAGGUGCAUUAUGUUACUGAACUGCAUCAUGACGGGUAAUGUAAAGACUCAAGGCAUUAUCCUACUCAAUCGAUUUUGCAGUUACAGCAAAAUUACUCAGGUGCAUUAUCCUACUGAACUGAUCAUGACAUAAAAUGCAAAGACUAUGCAUUAUUAUACUCAAUCUAAUUUGCAGGUACAACAAACAGUCUCAGGUGCAUUAUCGUCACUUAGCAUGUUUCAAAAGGAUAGAGCAGUAUAACUAUAAAAACGCACUAUAACUUUUAAUUACAGCAGUGUACUUGAUGCAUAAUCAGAAUAGUACCAAACUCCUAUGAAUUUGUAAUCGAGAUAUGAUAUUACAGCUAAGUUAUGGAGAAAGCCUAAUGGGCAAUAAAUCUUACCGGGAGGAACAACGAAGGAAUUGCUCGGGCCAUUGCAUCCCGAAGAACGCGACCAUCAUGUGCAGAUCCCGGGCAACCACUUAAGCAAUAGACGAAUGCCAUAUUCCAAUUGCAGACACCAAGGAAGUUAAUGGCAGUUACUGAUUUACGGUUCCGGUACUUUGGUGCAUCCUCAGACGAACAACAAACGGACACCAUCAUCUCAUCCAACGUUCCUAAACAGCCCUGUUACAAACUUAUGGUUAUUGUUAUUAUCAUACUACACAGUACAUA